rnacentral:rRNA from 1 species
AGUGAACGCUGGCGGUAGGCCUAACACAUGCAAGUCGAACGGCAGCACAGAGGAGCUUGCUCCUUGGGUGGCGAGUGGCGGACGGGUGAGGAAUACAUCGGAAUCUACUCUGUCGUGGGGGAUAACGUAGGGAAACUUACGCUAAUACCGCAUACGACCUACGGGUGAAAGCAGGGGAUCUUCGGACCUUGCGGGAUUGAAUGAGCCGGUGUCGGGUUAGCUAGUUGGCGGGGUAAAGGCCCACCAAGGCGACGAUCCGUAGCUGGUCUGAGAGGAUGAUCAGCCACACUGGAACUGAGACACGGUCCAGACUCCUACGGGAGGCAGCAGUGGGGAAUAUUGGACAAUGGGCGCAAGCCUGAUCCAGCCAUACCGCGUGGGUGAAGAAGGCCUUCGGGUUGUAAAGCCCUUUUGUUGGGAAAGAAAUCCAUCUGGUUAAUACCCGGGUGGGAUGACGGUACCCAAAGAAUAAGCACCGGCUAACUUCGUGCCAGCCGCCGCCGUAA